UACGUAGGGGGCUAGCGUUGUCCGGAUUUAUUGGGCGUAAAGAGCUCGUAGGCGGCUCAGUAAGUCGGGUGUGAAACCCCCGGGCUCAACCCGGGGACGCCACCCGAUACUGCGGUGACUGGAGUCUGGUAGGGGAUCACGGAAUACCUGGUGUAGCGGUGAAAUGCGCAGAUAUCAGGAGGAACACCAGCGGCGAAGGCGGCGCUCUGGGCCGGAACUGACGCUGAGGAGCGAAAGCGUGGGGAGCGAACAGG
rnacentral:rRNA from 1 species